GGAGUGACACUUCCUAGAGGAAACAAAUAUUCAGUUGUUAAACGGUAGUUGCUCAUGAGUGUCCUUUGUCAUCAUGUAAGUUUAAAAAGAAAAAAAAUUGAAUUCAAGUGCUCUUUACCAAGUUUGCUAUAAAAUCUGGAUGAUUGUGCACUGCCAGAUACAGCUAAUUCUAACUUUUGUGCAACUGCACAUGAGUGUCGGGGUGGAGGAAGGCCCUGCAAAAUUUCUAGGCAUUUUAAGUCCUUAGAAUAAAGGUAGCGUAAAGAGAUCCCUGAAGUGUCUUAACAUCCAAUGUAGUCAGAGAUAAAUAUUGCAACUGUAAAUUGAUGCAAGAAAAUGUGUUGUAAGUGAAAAUGUAUGUCUUCAUUUGAGCUCUUCUUUGGUAAAUAGCAAUACAGUAAAAGCUAGAUUGAAAAAAUAUAGAAGACAGCAUAACAGAGCUUUCCAAGAUCCGAAGCAAGGCAAUAAAAGAAAGCGUCACCCACUUCAUUCUACCUAAAAUACUUAAAAGAAAACAAAAUAGUUUUUUCCAUAUUUUCCCAUCUGAAAAGGAAAAUAUCAAUGCAAUUAGUCUUUGAUUAUUUCCUCAUAUAAUCAAAAAUUCGUUGUUGUUCUUAAGAGCCCUAUCUCUGACAGUCACUGAGAGAAUGUGCCCCUGGGAAUUUUAUCUGAAGGACUUAUGGAAGUUUUUUUUUUGUCAGAAUAAUCUUCUCUGAUUAACUGCAAAAUUGUAUUUAUCUCUUUUCUUAGCUCAAUGAGUCACUUGUUCUUAACAAGACCACAACAUACCAUGUCAUGCCUAAAUUAAGUUCAAUUUGAUUAAUUGAAAUGUAAUGAUUCUUUUUAAUUUUUUCCAAUUAGGAAAAUAAUUUUAGAAAUUAUUCCAAAGUUCAGAAUGUUUCUAUGUGUAGCUGCAAACAAAUGUCAUGAGAGGUCUUAACUAAUAGAAACCAAGUUUCUAACUGUAAAUUUGUUGGGAAGACUGAAAUUAUAUUUGGAGGCACUAAUUAGACCUAAAUUACCGUUUUAAAUAUUUUCAAUGUUUUGGAAUAGUGAAACGUGAUUUUAAUGCUAAGGACAUUACCUAAAUGUUUACUAAAAGUGUUUCAGUUGAAAAUAAUUUUCAUUUUGAAAUAAAAAUAUGAUUUACUGAUAGAACACUUUAGAACCUUAAAUGUUUCUGUCAGUUAAGCCUCCCAUGUGUCAGUUAAGGCCCUGGAUGAUAUGUUGCAAAAGCACUUAAAUAUUCUUGGUGGUGACAAUUUUUAAUCAUGGGUUGUUUGUGAUAAAACAUUUCUCUAAUCCCAACCAAGGAGUUGAAGUUAUUUUCUGAGUAAUGAGUCUUUAAGCCUCUCUCUGUGUAAUUGAGAUACUUUAGAAUUUGGAGUUCCUAGCCUAGAACCAAUUAUUCAGUUCAGCUUUGAAUUUUGUGACUCAUUGCCCAUAACCAUAAAGGCAUUAGUAAUAUGGCUUAAAUACUAGAGGGGCAUAGAGAUUCCAGGAGAUCACACUGUUCCUUGAAUCCAUCGCUCCGAGGGCCAUUUGAAGCAAAGGUAAUUGAAAAGACACAGCACAGGUUUGGACUGAUUUUAUUGCACUAGGGAAAAGAAUGUAAGAUAGUCUUGUCUUGGGUGAUUUAGUGAUUUCUAGUAGGUCCACUUAUCAAAGGAAGAAAGAAAUUCAAGGAUUUAAAUUCAGAAGAAAGAAAAAUACAAAGAAAGAACAUGAAAAAGAAAGGAAAGGGGGAUAAGUUGCCUAAAUUCAGGCAAAGUAAAAUAGCCUGAAGAUAAAUCAGAGCUGGGUUUCAAAUAUACAUAAAAUAAUUGAAGACUGACAUAUAUAAAAAGAAAUAACUUGCUUCAGAUGCUGGGGACAAGUCUUUAUAAGAACAUGAUGAAGUUGAUUUUUCUUCCAAAAUCCAAUUCCAGAUUAAUUUGAGUUAAAUGUGAUUUAAGAGCAUAACAAGGUUUGCUUUCAGAAUCAGCUGGCCAGAAAAGACCACACUGAUUUGCUGUAUUGAAUUUACUCAUAUCAUACUUAUUCUCUACCAAUCCAUCAUGCCUUGCAAGAGUUUUUCCAUAUCGUUUCCUUCUUGAGAAAUUAUAAUUGUCAGUAACAGCAUCCAGACCAUGUGAAGGCCUGGUAAGUCUCAUGGGGGUAGAAGCUCAAGGUGGGUUUAUUACAUUAUUUCUUGUAUGCUACACAAGAAACCCUAUUUGAGCCAGCGGCGAUACAUCCCCAAUCAGAA
ensembl:lncRNA